rnacentral:rRNA from 10 species
CGACUCUCGGCAACGGAUAUCUUGGCUC